CCUACGUGCGGCAGCAGUGGGGAAUAUUGGACAAUGGGCGAAAGCCUGAUCCAGCCAUGCCGCGUGUGUGAAGAAGGCCUUCGGGUUGUAAAGCACUUUCAGUGGGGAAGAAAGCCUUGGGGCUAAUACCCUCGAGGAAGGACAUCACCCACAGAAGAAGCACCGGCUAACUCCGCGCCAGCAGCCGCGGUAAUACGGAGGGUGCGAGCGUUAAUCGGAAUUACUGGGCGUAAAGCGCGCGUAGGCGGUCUGAUAAGCCGGUUGUGAAAGCCCCGGGCUCAACCUGGGAACGGCAUCCGGAACUGUCAGGCUAGAGUGCAGGAGAGGAAGGUAGAAUUCCCGGUGUAGCGGUGAAAUGCGUAGAGAUCUGGAGGAAUACCAGUGGCGAAGGCGGCCUUCUGGACUGACACUGACGCUGAGGUGCGAAAGCGUGGGUAGCAAACAGGAUUAGAUACCCCAGUAGUC
rnacentral:rRNA from 1 species